rnacentral:rRNA from 1 species
UCUAGAGGCUUCGGCAAUGGACGAAAGUCUGACCGAGCGACGCCGCGUGUGGGAUUGAAGGCCUUCGGGUCGUAAACCACUGUCAGAGGGGAAGAAUGCCCGUAUGGCGAAUACGGGAGUGACGGUACCCUCAGAGGAAGCCCCGGCUAACUCCGUGCCAGCAGCCGCGGUAAUACGGAGGGGGCAAGCGUUAUUCGGAUUUACUGGGCGUAAAGGGUGCGUAGGCGGUCGCGCAAGUCUGAUGUGAAAUCUUCACCACUCAACGGGAAGAGGUCAUUGGAAACUGCACGACUUGAGUUUGGUAGAGGCUAGCGGAAUUCCUGGUGUAGCGGUGGAAUGUGUAGAUAUCAGGAAGAACACCUGUGGCGAAGGCGGCUAGCUGGGCCAAUACUGACGCUGAGGCACGAAAGCGUGGGGAGCAAACGG